UCCAGUUGACGGGAACGCCAGUCUUCAAGGGAACCGUUAGAGCAACAGUCCGUGUCGCCUUGAAUCUGAAAGAAGCCAAAGAAAUCCAGAACGGAGACAUCCUCAUCACGCGGAGCACAGACAUUGGAUGUAGUCCGUAUUUCCCGUUGUUGUCUGUCGUCGUGACGGAGCUCGGUGGCCUGAUUUCUCAUGGAGCUGUUCUGGCCCGAGAAUAUGGUUUACCGGCUAUCGUUGGUUGCCAGAAAGUAACGCAAGUUUUCCGUUCUGGUGUUAUCGUUAUCCUUGAUGGAGCAAAGGAACCAUGGCACGCGUGGAAGCAUAAAAUUAACACAGCUAAAAUUUGGUCUUGUCAUCCAAAAUUUUACAAGGG